AUGAGCCCCUCACUCCUUUCCCCUAUGGCUUCCAGGAUAAACUGCAAGCACUUCUUCCACCCCUGCACCCUCGCAGCUUCCUCUUCCACUCUAGCCCGCCACCCCCACCCAGCCCCACUAGCACUUCUACCCCAGCAGCCCUGGCCAACACACCACCUCUACCUGGAAGCCCCCAGGAUCACCUCCACCCCCACCCCCACCCCCCGCGUCCCUAGGCUGCGCCGGCGUCCUCCGGUGCUCUGGGCACCUGGGCUAUUUGGGGCCCCCACUGGUCUGUCUCCCUCCCGCGACACAUCCCGGCGAGCCCCGACGGCUUGGCCCGGUGGUUCGGUUCCCCGCGGUGCCCUCAGGCCUUGGCGCACCCAGGGCUCGGUGGACGUCCGGAGACUGGAUGAAUCCGGAGCCCUCACGGACCUCGCAGCGGAGGCGGAGGCCCCGUGGGUGCAGAGGCGGGGCCGCUCCCCCCAGAGCCCUCCGCCCCCGGACUUCCGCGGCCCGAGUAGUAGCUUGCAACUCGGAAUCCCCUCGCCGGGCCCGCGCGGGGCCGCCUCCUCCCUCGCGUCCUGCCGCCUCCGCCCCUCUCCUCCCUCCCUCCCUCCCUCCCUCCCGCUCUUUGUCUCCCGGCGCCGGCCUCCCCGCCACGCGCCCCCCGCGCCGCCCCUUCCCGGGAGACCCCGCGGAUCCCCGCGGACGCGACGCGACGCGUGUCUGCCCGCCCGGCUGGGGGCCUGCGUCCCGCGGGCCGGAGGGCGGCGGGGCGGGGAGGCAGUUCCCUCCUCCCGCCCUCUCCCUCCCUUCUCCCUCCUCCCCCGCUCACACGCACACACAAACACGCACACACACGCGCGCACACACGCGCACACGCGCGCGCGCACGGAGCAUCCUCCCGUCAGGGCUCUGGUCCAGCCCCGCCCGCGCCUCCCGGUCCCCGCAAACCCUCUCCUCCUCUCCCGCUCCCCUCAUCCCCUCCGCUCCCGGACCCUCCGCGCCCGCGCCCGCCCCUCUCCCGGGAUGGAGCGGCUCGAGCCCGCCCGCAGCCCCCCGCGGCCGGGGUGA
rnacentral:lncRNA from 1 species